rnacentral:rRNA from 1 species
GAUGAACGCUGGCGGCGUGCUUAACACAUGCAAGUCGAACGAGAGAAGAUCGGUGCUUGCACUGAUCCGAUCGAGUGGCGGACUGGUGAGUAACGCGUGGGUAACCUGCCUCAUACAGGGGAAUAACAGUUGGAAACGGCUGCCAAAACCGCAUAAGCGCACAGUAUCGCAUGAUACAGUGUGAAAAACUCCGGUGAUAUGAGAUGGACCCGCGUCUGAUUAGCUAGUUGGUGAGGUAACGGCCCACCAAGGCAACGAUCAGUAGCCGGCCUGAGAGGGUGAACGGCCACAUUGGGACUGAGACACGGCCCAAACUCCUACGGGAGGCAGCAGUGGGGAAUAUUGCACAAUGGGGGAACCCUGAUGCAGCGACGCCGCGUGAGUGAUGAAGUAUUUCGGUAUGUAAAGCUCUAUCAGCAGGGAAGAUAAUGACGGUACCUGACUAAGAAGCACCGGCUAAAUACGUGCCAGCCGCCGCAGUAA